GACGCCGAGCGGAACCCGAAAACCUAGUCUCAGUUCGGAUUGGAGUCUGCAACCCGACUCCAUGAAGCUGGAUUCGCUAGUAAUCGCGCAUCAGCCACGGCGCGGUGAAUACGUUCCCGGGCCUUGUACACACCGCCCGUCAAGCCAUGGAAGCCGGGGAGUGCCUGAAGUGCGUGACCGCAAGGAGCGUCCUAAGGUAAAACCGGUGACUGGGGCUAAGUCGUAACAAGGUAGC
rnacentral:rRNA from 1 species